UACGGAGGAUCCAAGCGUUAUCCGGAUUUAUUGGGUUUAAAGGGUGCGUAGGCGGUUUAUUAAGUCAGGGGUGAAAGACGGCAGCUUAACUGUCGCAGUGCCUUUGAUACUGAUGAACUUGAAUGUACUAGAAGUAGGCGGAAUGUGACAAGUAGCGGUGAAAUGCAUAGAUAUGUCACAGAACACCGAUUGCGAAGGCAGCUUACUAUGGUAUUAUUGACGCUGAGGCACGAAAGCGUGGGGAUCAAACAGG
rnacentral:rRNA from 1 species